rnacentral:rRNA from 1 species
UACGUAGGGGGCAAGCGUUGUCCGGAUUUAUUGGGCGUAAAGAGCGUGUAGGCGGCCAUGCAGGUCAGCUGUGAAAACUCGAGGCUCAACCUCGAGACGUCGGUUGAAACCGCAUGGCUAGAGUCCGGAAGAGGAGAGUGGAAUUCCCGGUGUAGCGGUGAAAUGCGCAGAUAUCGAGAAGAACACCCGUGGCGAAGGCGGCUCUCUGGGACGGUACUGACGCUGAGACGCGAAAGCGUGGGGAGCGAACAGG